UACGUAGGGCGCAAGCGUUGUCCGGAAUUAUUGGGCGUAAAGAGCUCGUAGGCGGUUUGUCGCGUCUGCUGUGAAAACCUAAGGCUCAACCUUGGGCUUGCAGUGGGUACGGGCAGACUAGAGUGCGGUAGGGGUGACUGGAAUUCCUGGUGUAGCGGUGGAAUGCGCGGAUAUCAGGAGGAACACCGAUGGCGAAGGCAGGUCACU
rnacentral:rRNA from 1 species